rnacentral:RNase_P_RNA from 2 species
GGGAUAGGCUGAACGAUCGCUGCUGUCUGUAAUAGAGAGGAGAGGAAAGUCCGGACUCCAUAGGGCGUGGUGCCAGGUAACACCUGGGGAGUGAAAACUUACGGAUAGUGCCACAGAAAAUAUACCGCCAUUCUAUAAGUAUCUAGUAUGGUAAGGGUGAAAUGGUGCGGUAAAAGCGCACCGCAUCAAUGGUAACAUUGAUGGCAGGGUAAACCCCACCAGGAGCAAGACCAAAUAAGAGAAUAACCGUGUUGCCCGCACGAUUCUCGGGUAGGUCGCUUGAGUGCUAUGGUGACGUAGUGCCUAGAUGAAUGAUCGUUGUGAUUUGUUGUAUAAAUCAUACAGAACCCGGCUUAUAGGCCCAUUCCCUAU